GAUGAACGCUGGCGGCGUGCCUAAUACAUGCAAGUCGAGCGAACAGAUGAGGAGCUUGCUCCUCUGACGUUAGCGGCGGACGGGUGAGUAACACGUGGAUAACCUACCUAUAAGACUGGGAUAACUUCGGGAAACCGGAGCUAAUACCGGAUAAUAUAUUGAACCGCAUGGUUCAAUAGUGAAAGACGGUUUUGCUGUCACUUAUAGAUGGAUCCGCGCCGCAUUAGCUAGUUGGUAAGGUAACGGCUUACCAAGGCAACGAUGCGUAGCCGACCUGAGAGGGUGAUAGGCCACACUGGAGCUGAGACACGGUCCAGACUCCUACGGGAGGCAGCAGUAGGGAAUCUUCCGCAAUGGGCGAAAGCCUGACGGAGCAACGCCGCGUGAGUGAUGAAGGUCUUCGGAUCGUAAAACUCUGUUAUUAGGGAAGAACAAAUGUGUAAGUAACUAUGCACGUCUUGACGGUACCUAAUCAGAAAGCCACGGCUAACUACGUG
rnacentral:rRNA from 1 species